rnacentral:rRNA from 1 species
GACGAACGCUGGCGGCGUGCUUAACACAUGCAAGUCGAACGGAAAGGCCCUGCUUGCAGGGUACUCGAGUGGCGAACGGUGAGUUAACCGGGGGUGAUUUGCCCCGCAAUUUGGGGUUAGGCCGGGAAACUGGGUCCAAUAACGGAUUGGGGCCCUUUUUAGUGUGAUGGUUGGAAAGUUUUUUUGGUGUAGGAUGAGCUCGCGGCCUAUCAGCUUGUUGGUGGGGUAAUGGCCUACCAAGGGGGCGACGGGUAGCCGGCCUGGGAGGGUGGACGGCCACAUUGGGACUGAGAUACGGCCCAGACUCCUACGGGAGGCAGCAGUGGGGAAUAUUGCACAAUGGGCGCAAGCCUGAUGCAGCGACGCCGCGUGGGGGAUGACGGCCUUCGGGCUGUAAACUCCUUUCGCUAGGGACGAAGCUUUUUGUGACGGUACCUAGAUAAGAAGCACCGGCUAACUACGUG